UACAUAGGGGGCAAGCGUUAUCCGGAAUUAUUGGGCGUAAAGGGUGCGUAGGCGGUUAUCUAAGUCUUUGGUGUAAGUGCAGUGCUUAACGCUGUGAUGCUAAGGAAACUGGAUGACUUGAGUGAGGUAGAGGCAAGUGGAAUUCCAUGUGUAGCGGUAAAAUGCGUAAAUAUAUGGAGGAACACCAGUGGCGAAGGCGGCUUGCUGGGCCUUAACUGACGCUGAGGCACGAAAGCGUGGGGAGCAAACA
rnacentral:rRNA from 1 species